rnacentral:rRNA from 1 species
GAUGAACGCUGGCUACAGGCUUAACACAUGCAAGUCGAGGGGUAACGAGAGGAAAGCUUGCUUUCCUUGUUGACGACCGGCGCACGGGUGAGUAACGCGUAUCCAACCUGCCCCCAACUAGGGAAUAACCUUGCGAAAGUAAGACUGAUACCCUAUAAUUUCCUCAGAUGUCAUCUGACGAGGAAUAAAGAUUUAUCGGUUGUGGAUGGGGAUGCGUCUGAUUAGCUUGUUGGCGGGGUAACGGCCCACCAAGGCAACGAUCAGUAGGGGUUCUGAGAGGAAGGUCCCCCACAUUGGAACUGAGACACGGUCCAAACUCCUACGGGAGGCAGCAGUGAGGAAUAUUGGUCAAUGGGCGGAAGCCUGAACCAGCCAAGUAGCGUGCAGGAUGACGGCCCUAUGGGUUGUAAACUGCUUUUAUACAGGAAUAAAGUUAGCCACGUGUGGUUAUUUGUAGGUACUGUAUGAAUAAGGACCGGCUAAUUCCGUGCCAGCAGCAGCCGCGG